rnacentral:rRNA from 1 species
CCUACGGGAGGCAGCAGUGGGGAAUUUUUGGACAAUGGGGGCAACCCUGAUCCAGCAAUGCCGCGUGUGUGAAGAAGGCCUUCGGGUUGUAAAGCACUUUUGUCAGGAAAGAAAUCCCUUGGGCUAAUAUCCCGGGGGGAUGACGGUACCUGAAGAAUAAGCACCGGCUAACUACGUGCCAGCAGCCGCGGUAAUACGUAGGGUGCAAGCGUUAAUCGGAAUUACUGGGCGUAAAGCGUGCGCAGGCGGUUGUGCAAGACCGAUGUGAAAUCCCCGGGCUUAACCUGGGAACUGCAUUGGUGACUGCACGGCUAGAGUGUGUCAGAGGGGGGUAGAAUUCCACGUGUAGCAGUGAAAUGCGUAGAUAUGUGGAGGAAUACCGAUGGCGAAGGCAGCCCCCUGGGAUAACACUGACGCUCAUGCACGAAAGCGUGGGGAGCAAACAGGAUUAGAUACCCUGGUAGUCCACGCCCUAAACAAUGUCAACUAGUUGUCGGGUCUUCAUUGACUUGGUAACGCAGCUAACGCGUGAAGUUGACCGCCUGGGGAGUACGGUCGCAAGAUUAAAACUCAAAGGAAUUGACGG